UCGGGAAUAUUGCACAAUGGAGGAAACUCUGAUGCAGUGACGCCGCGUAGAGGAAGAAGGUUUUCGGAUUGUAAACUCUUUUCGACAGGGAAGACCAAAAGACAGUACCUGUAAAAGAAGCCCCGGCUAACUACGUGCCAGCAGCCGCGGUAAUACGUAGGGGGCAAGCGUUAUCCGGAUUUACUGGGUGUAAAGGGUGCGUAGAUGGGAACCUAAGUUGGGAGUGAAAUAUUAAGGCUCAACCUUAAUGCUGCUUCCAAAACUGGGUUUCUUGAGUGCAGGAGAGGAAAGUGGAAUUCCUAGUGUAGCGGUAGAAUGCGUAGAUAUUAGGAGGAACACCAGUGGCGAAGGCGACUUUCUGGACUGCAACUGACAUUGAGGCACGAAAGCAUGGGGAGCAAACAGG
rnacentral:rRNA from 1 species